rnacentral:rRNA from 1 species
UGUGUCAGAACUGAUUCGUCUAACGAAUAUCAAAUCUGUGGAUGGCUCCAUAAACAAGUGGGAACCUACCGUUUCUGUUAAUUAGAAGGAUAACCGUGCCAACGGCACGGAUAAUACUUGCAAAACGGAGACGCUCUCCUGGCGAUCACCAUUGUCGAGUCAAGGUGAUCACUCCGGUAUCGUUUCACGAUGAUACCGGUGUAGACCAUUUGCAACACCCAAGUGUGAAACCGUUAUUGGUGUCACUCUCCGGAGGGACUCAGUAGCGGGAGAACGGCGGGGAUGAAGGCCUUCUUAUCUAUCAGCUUUGGUUGAAAGGCUAUUGUCCUUUCAAGGCGACCACGGGUACGGAUGAUUAGUGUCAGAUUCCGGAGAAGGAGCCAGAGUAAAGGCUACUACAUCUAAGGACGGCAGCAGGCGCGCAAACUUCCCAAUCUCAAUUCGAGGAGGAGGUGACGAGAAAUACCGAUCUCCUGCAAAAGUAGGAGAGUAUCGCAAGAUUUGGAAUGUGUUCAACUUAGAAUAUUGGACGAGCAGCAAUUGGAGGGCAAGUCUGGUGCCAGCAGCCGCGGUAAUACCAGCUCCAAUAGCGUAUUCUAACAUUGAUGCGUUUAACGUUCGUAGCUGUCACAAGAUGACCGAGAUAGGGUUCGGUAAUCGCUCACUGUAAGCUGGUGCGCUUGCGUGCUAGUAAGCAGAACGGCGGUGUAUGCUCAACAUAUGCCGUCGUCUCGGGGUGGUUGCUCUUGGCUUGCUUAGAUUGUCCGAUAAGUAGGUCCGCCUACGUAAAGUGAUCUCUGCAGGUGAAUUCUAUUCCCGAUUAUCAUAAGACUCGAGCGCAAACUUGGGUCAUACAACUGUGAGUAAAUCAACGUGCUCCAAGCAGUCGACGAUACACGACUUCGGUUGUGUUGAUUGUAUGAUGAAGCAUGGUAUUGUGCACUGCCGUGCAAACGGCGUGCGCAAUGAGAGAUGGAGGACGGGAUGAGUAUUGCAGCGAUAGAGGUGAAAUUCAGUGACCGUUGCAAGACUACCAAGGGCGAAAGCACUACCCGACGACAUCUCUGUCAGUGAGGAACGAUAGCCAGGGGAGCGAAGAUGAUCAGAUACCAUCGUAGUCCUGGCUGUAAACUAUACCAUCAGGAGACUGAUCCGAGACUCCUCGAUUGAUCCUACCAGUAUCUGAAAGAAAUCGAAAGACUUUAGGUUACUGGGGGAGUAUGGUCGCAAGGCUGAAACUUAAAAGAAUUGACGGAAGGGCACACCAGGAGUGGAAUCUGCGGCUCAAUUCGACUCAACACGGGAAAACUCACCAGGUCCAACACUUGUAUGAUAGUCAGGCUAAUGACCUUUCUAGAUUAUGUGAAUGGUAGUGCAUGGUCGCUCUUAGUUCGUGGAAUGGUCUGUCAGGUUAAUUCCGAUAACGCACAAGACUUCGGCUUCUAUUUAGCACGAGCUUUUCACAAAGUUUCGUCGUCUGCCGGUGGUCGCAAGCCGCGGGUAGACUAGCUGCAUAGAAGGACUGCAAACGUUUACAGUUUGAGGAAGGGCGAAGCUAUAGCAGGUCUGUGAUGCUCUUAGAUGUUCUGGGCAGCACGCGUAUUACAAUGUUAGCAACAAAGAGCUUUCGACCGGAUGGUACUCCAUUCGGUAACCUACUCCAAGCUUUUUUGCUUUGUGACGGAGACGGCAAUCUCACAAUCGCUAACGUGACUGGGAUCGUCGGUUGUAAAUCCGACGUUAACGAGGAAUUCCUAGUAGGUAUGUGUCAUCAUCACAUGUCGAUUAUGUCCCUGCCCUUUGUACACACCGCCCGUCGCUCCUACCGAUGGAACUCAAUGGCGAAGAGCACCGAGUGGUAGCUUGCUGCUGCAAAAUGUUCUAAACCUUUUUGUUUGUAGGAAGGAGAAGUCG